UUCCCCCUGUCUGAAGAAGGGGAGCAGGUUUCUGAGUACUCCGGGGCGCGGUGCCUCCCCCUAAACGCGAAUGGAACUUCUGGGAAAUGCCCCUCCCCCAGCCCCUUGUCUGGGGCACCUUCCUUGUCUCUUCUCCCCCACCGGUGUUGGGGAGUUCCUUGUCUCCGCUCCCAACCACAGAGCCACAAGUACAUUAUCUAUGCCGAGGCUAGUCCCUAUGCCCAGGCUAGGAGAGCCGCACUUCUUCCUACAGCUGACACGUUUGGUUUUUGGAGGGGAAAGGGGAGCUGUGGCGGAAUCAGUAAUGGAAAUUGAUGAACCUGUGAUGUGACUCCUGGGAGUGGUUUGCAAUCACCAUUGGCCCAAAAGGAGCCAUCUACGUGCUCAGUGGGGUCUAGUAAAGGAUAAUAUUAAUUCUU
rnacentral:antisense_RNA from 1 species